UAUAAAAUAGAACAGGAAACACAAGACAAGACUAAGAAACACAAGAAAAUACAGCAAGAGACAUGGAUCACUAAACAAACAAGAGAGACAAAGCACCUAAUGCAGAAGAAAAACUGUGAGGAACCAAGACAUUUCACCAUUCCCCUACUUUGUUCCACAAUCCACAAUGUCUGCCAGAGCCACACCACAUAAGAGUUCCAAACUAUUGACCCGGGGGAUGGCUGCUUCCAAGAUGGAAAACGGCAGAGGCCAUGAACUGUGGAAAUCAGUCACUUCAGAACAUCCUUGGUGAACAUCAAAAUCAAGAAACAAUGCUGUUGUGUGAAGUGCCCAACUUCCUAUUGGUUUAAGUCAAAAUCAUGAACAUUGACACACCUUCAGGAGCAACUUUGGGUUUAGUGUCUGAGCCAGGGACACUUCGACAUGCACUCAUAGACUACUGUACCCUGGGAAUGAACCACCAACUAACUCAACUACUCAGCCACAGCUGCCCCAACUCCACCUUCACUGAAUAUGCAUAAUUUAUGGUAAUCCUUGUGAUAACAGCAAAUUGGCCACCCUUAACCUGUUUUAACUUUUUUUGGGAGUCCAAGUGGGGUGGAAUCAAUUUACAAGAGAACAAUGCUGUGGCUUGCUCUGUGCUAUAAAUACAUUAUUGAUGAUUAUGCAUUUUUUUUAAAGAACUGGAGAAGUCCCAUUCCUUUGUUUGAUCAUAGGAAUAAACCAAAACCUAAA